UGUGGAGCUGGGCCGCCCACUCACUGUGCUGGGUUGCAGUGGCCCCUGGGCUGGUACGCCUGGUACAUGGCUUCCAGAAAGAGCAGCAGAUUGUGGUUGCACAGGAUUGGAAGUAGGUUGGAGCACGACCUCCCUUUGAAAGCGAGCUUGCUUCUCACAGCAGCCUUGGUACCGGGGUCUGCCCUGGUGAGCCCCACGGCCCCGGCCCUACUCGGGUCCUGGCCAGGGAGUUGCUGGACUUUGACCUCAGUGUCCUCAUGUGAGGUAGGGACAGUGGUAGAAUCUGCUGGUGGCUUUGGCGGCGAGGACCUUGGCAUGCUGCCCAGCACGUGGCCGUGCUUGUUCAGUCCUGGGAGCCACACUUGGCUACGUUCCGGAAUCUGAAACCGACGUGUCUUCCGUUGCUAAAUGCUUGUCCGUUGUAAAACGUUGUCCUAGUUUCUGUUCUCACUGGCACGAAUGGGGUGUCCUGGCAGGACGGCCAGCCUAGAUCUCCUGGGCUAGGGCAGCAGGAUAAGGCCCGGAACUCCGAGGACGUGGCCUCCGAUUCAGCCGGGUCCCGCCCCACCGUUACCCCUCGCCUCUGUGCACCGUGGUUCCGCCCAGCAUGUUCUUAAACUGCGCCGUGUCUUCCCGGUCACGGGCUCCACCCAAGCUCAUCUCCUCUGCUCCGGUUCCCGGGUUCCCACGUUGCUAGCUGGGCCUUGUCACCAAUCUGUCUCGCUUGCCCCUCCCCGUCUCCAGCCCUUCAGAGACUCUUCUGAGUCCACCGGGCUGCCUGAGCUCAGGGCUGAGCGUGAGGCUCCUGGCUGCACCUGGCGCCGCGUCUGCGCCGGGCGGGCUGCCUGCCUCUUGGCGCUGGUGCCGACGGCAGGGCCUGGCCGGGGCAGACUCCGAGGCCCCCACUCUGCCAGGCCGAGGCCGUUACUGUCCUGGGGCCUUUGCACUGCUCUUCCUCCUGCCGGGAGUUGCUUUCCUCCCCGCCCUGUAGCUCCAGCCCAGCUGGCAGAGGGCCCUGCCGAAUCCAGCAGCAGCCACCCCCACCCCCCUUCCGCCUAAGCCAAAGCAAGUUUCUGUCUGAAUUCAUCUUAUCUCCUGGGGAAAGGGCCUGCUGGACCUGGCAGGCCCUGGCCCAGAGCAGGCCCUCGGUAGAGCUCCAGGGCCGGGGAGGUGGGAAGAGGAGAGGAGCCCCCGCGGCGUGAGGUGGACGCAGCUGGAGCACAGAGGCCCGUGCUUCGCGCCCCCGUACGAGCCCCUUCCGGAUGGAGUCCGCUUCUACUACGACGGAAAGCCCAUGAAGUUGAGCUUAGCAGCCGAGGAGGUUGCCACGUUUUACGGGAAAAUGUUGGAGCACGAAUACACAACCAAAGAAGUUUUCCGGCACAACUUCUUCCGUGACUGGCGGAAGGAAAUGACGGCAGCCGAGAGGAAGGUCAUCAAGCGCCUGAGCAAGUGCGACUUCACGGAGAUCCACAGACACUUCGCGGACAGGGCCGCGGCCCGGAGGGCCCUGCCCCGGGAGGAGAAGCAGAGGCUCAAAGAAGAGGCGGAGAAGCUUCAGCAGGAGUUUGGCUACUGUAUCUUGGACGGGCACCGAGAGAAGAUAGGCAAUUUCAAGACGGAGCCGCCCGGCUUGUUCCGGGGCCGCGGCGACCACCCCAAGAUGGGGAUGCUGAAGCGGAGGGUCCUGCCGGAGGACGUGACCAUCAACUGCGGCAGGGACUCAAAAGUACCAGAGCCCCCGGCAGGCCACCAGUGGAAGGAGGUGCGGUCGGACCGCACGGUCACAUGGCUGGCGGCGUGGACGGAGAAUGUGCAGAAUGCCACCAAGUAUGUCAUGCUGAACCCCAGCUCGAAGCUCAAGGGGGAGAGAGACUGGGAAAAGUACGAAGUGGCUCGGCGCUUGAAAGGCGUGGUGGACGAGAUCCGUUCUCGGUACCGGGCCGACUGGAAGUCUCGGGAAAUGAAGGCGAGACAGCGCGCUGUAGCCCUUUAUUUCAUCGACAAGCUGGCGCUGCGAGCUGGGAACGAGAAGGAGGAGGGCGAGUCGGCCGACACCGUGGGCUGCUGCUCCCUCCGCGUGGAGCACGUCCAGCUGCACCCAGAGGCCGACGGCUGCCCCUAUGUCGUGGAAUUCGACUUCCUGGGGAAGGACUCGAUCCGCUACUACAACAAAGUGCCGGUGGAGAAGCCCGUCUACAGGAACCUGCAGCUCUUCUUGGAGAACAAAGACCCGGGGGAGGAGCUCUUUGACCGACUGACUACCGCCAGCCUGAACAAGCACCUGCAGGACCUGAUGGACGGGCUGACGGCCAAAGUCUUCCGGACCUACAACGCCAGCAUCACCCUGCAGGGCCAGCUGCGAGCACUCACCAGAGGUGCGUGUCCCCUGGUCUGGGACAGGGCACCUGUGCGUGGUAUGAUGCCUUGUGGCCAGUGUCUAGGGCAGCGUGGAGGUGGCCUUGCCUGGUCCAAGUGUGGGCUGAGCAGGAAGGGUCAGGGGUGUGUGUGUCUCAGCUGGAAGGGCCCAGGGCCCCAGGCUGAGCCUUCCCUGCAGGGUCCCCUGCUCCUGGCUCUGGCCUCCCCAGGGCCGCCCCACCGCUCCUGCCCCGCAGGCAGUCGGAUCUUGUCUGCAGUGCCUGCCCAGCUGUGUGUGUCGCCUUCGUGUGCGGGAACCUUCUUCCUGCCACCUUCUGACCCCGUCAUCCAAGCUCCCCCACCCUCUGGGUCCCCGGUGGGGGCUCCUGGCCACGGCCUGAUGCCCUCAUGGGGGUCUGGGGAGGUCCCAGCUCUGCCCCUGCUGUGGGCCCCGUGGACCGAAUCCCUGUCGCUGGGGCCCGCCCCCGGUGUCCUCACUUGGUGCAGCAGUGACUGCUGAGCUGCGGUGGCUGCUGUCCAGCCGACCCUGUCUUUCAGCUGAAGACAGCAUCGCCGCUAAGCUGCUCUCUUACAACCGCGCGAACCGGGCCGUUGCCGUCCUCUGUAACCAUCAGCGGGCACCUCCCAAGACCUUCGAGAAGUCAAUGCAGGCUCUCCGGUCGAAGAUUGAGGCAAAGAAGCAGCAGGUGGCCGAGGCCAAGGCAGAGCUGGAGAAGGCGAGGGCCGGCCACGCAUCCAGAGAGGACGGCAGCUUCCUGGAGAAGAGGCGGCGGCGGCUGGAGAAGCUGGAGGAGCAGCUGGUGCGGCUGGGCACACAGGCCACAGACAAGGAGGAGGGCAAGCAGGUGGCCCUGGGCACGUCCAAGCUCAACUACCUGGACCCCCGGAUCAGCAUCGCCUGGUGCAGGAGGUUUGGGGUGCCCGUCGAGAAGAUCUACAACAAGACGCAGAGGGAGAAGUUUGCCUGGGCGCUGGACAUGGCGGGCGAGGACUUCGAGUUCUGAUCGGGCCUCCCUGGGCCUCAUCGGAUGCGUUUGGCAGCUUCUGCACUACUAAGGCACAUCGGGUUUUGCACUACUAAAGCACAUCGGGGGGUUUUGCACAAUGAAA